rnacentral:lncRNA from 10 species
GAGUUUCGGGCGGCGCGGAAACGGGCGGGUCUGGCGGCCCAACCCCCUGCUGCCAGUCAGGGCGCACAAACCCCAGGAGAGAAGGCGGAAGCAGCAGCGACUCUAAAGGCAGCCCCAGGCUGGCUAAAGCGGUUCCUGGUAUGGAAACCUAGGCCCGCGAGUGCCCGGGCCCAGCCCGGCCUAGUUCAGUUAAAAAACAAUGUCUAACCCAUGCAAUGAACUUUUGACUGUAUGUCUCAUUUCCAAAGGAAUGAGAUCAUUGAGGUGGACCCAGAGAAACUGAAUUCAGAGAAAAACUUCCAUUAUUGAGAACCCAAACGCUGAUUGCCAGACAAAAGGAUGAGAGGAAAUGCUGGACCUCCAGUUUCUUGUUAAUUGCUCUGUUUUUCCAUAAGGGACUCUGCCUUAAGCUCAUUUUCAUUGACUUAUCAUUUCUGGGUUUGCUCUGGUGUGAAAAUUCUCAUUUAAUUUUUUUUCUUCAGAUUCUGCCUCUAGUUUAGAAAAGAAAAAGUCUAAUUUACAAUUCAUGUCAGACAAUUUUGAUGGCACACUGUGGCCUGUCAGAGAUUUCUUUAGCAUUCUAUUUUUUUAAAUUAUUUUUAAUUUUUGUUUUUUUAAUUGAAACAGCUUUAUUGAAAUAAGGUUUACAUACUACAGAAUUUAUCUCUUUUAACAUACAGUUCAAAGAUUUUUAGUAAAUUUAUUGAGUCAUGCAACCAUCACUGCAACUUUAGAACGUCUCUAUCACUCCAAGAAGACCCCUCUUGCACAUUAGCAGUUACUACCCAUUUCCAACCCCAGCCCCGCACAAAUGUCAGUCUGCUUUCUAUCUAUA